GGCCGGACACGAGAUCGGUCACCACGGCUUUCUUCACAAGAUGCCGGAUCGCGACCGGCUGGAGGAGACAUUCGAGGAGAUC
rnacentral:sRNA from 1 species